AUUGAACGCUGGCGGCAUGCUUUACACAUGCAAGUCGAACGGUAACAGGUUAAGCUGAUGAGUGGCGAACGGGUGAGUAAUGCAUCGGAACGUGCCCGAUCGUGGGGGAUAACGCAGCGAAAGCUGCGCUAAUACCGCAUACGAUCUGAGGAUGAAAGCGGGGGACCGUAAGGCCUCGCGCGAUCGGAGCGGCCGAUGUCAGAUUAGGUAGUUGGUGGGGUAAAGGCCCACCAAGCCGACGAUCUGUAGCUGGUCUGAGAGGACGACCAGCCACACUGGGACUGAGACACGGCCCAGACUCCUACGGGAGGCAGCAGUGGGGAAUUUUGGACAAUGGGCGAAAGCCCGAUCCAGCAAUGCCGCGUGCAGGAAGAAGGCCUUCGGGUUGUAAACUGCUUUUGUACGGAGCGAAAAGGUCCUUUCUAAUACAAGGGGCUCAUGACGGUACCGUAAGAAUAAGCACCGGCUAACUACGUGCCAGCCGCCGCGGUAA
rnacentral:rRNA from 1 species